GUCUGGGUUUGCAUUCGCUCUUCACCUAUAAAUAGAUGGUGCACCCGAGUAUUCAAUUCAUUUCAAUCUCCUCUUUUUUACAUCCUUUCUCUUAUUGUCCUAAUAAUCCUCUUCCUUUCCUUGUUAAGACAAAGUUCUCUUAAAGACAAAAGAUCUGCUUUAGGACAAGGGCUUAGGAAGAGAAUUAGGCAAGAUAAGGAGAGAAACAAAAAGAAGAGAAGGAAAAAGCUAGGAGGC
rnacentral:lncRNA from 1 species